GCAGUGCAUCCUACGGGAGGCAGCAGUGGGGAAUAUUGCACAAUGGGCGCAAGCCUGAUGCAGCCAUGCCGCGUGUAUGAAGAAGGCCUUCGGGUUGUAAAGUACUUUCAGCAGUGAGGAAGGUGGGUAUGUUAAUAGCAUACUCAUUUGACGUUAGCUGCAGAAGAAGCACCGGCUAACUCCGUGCCAGCAGCCGCGGUAAUACGGAGGGUGCGAGCGUUAAUCGGAAUUACUGGGCGUAAAGCGCAUGCAGGUGGUUUGUUAAGUCAGAUGUGAAAGCCCGGGGCUCAACCUCGGAAUUGCAUUUGAAACUGGCAAACUAGAGUACUGUAGAGGGGGUAGAAUUUCAGGUGUAGCGGUGAAAUGCGUAGAGAUCUGAAGGAAUACCGGUGGCGAAGGCGGCCCCCUGGACAGAUACUGACACUCAGAUGCGAAAGCGUGGGGAGCAAACAGGAUUAGAUACCCUGGUAG
rnacentral:rRNA from 1 species